rnacentral:lncRNA from 1 species
CAAAAGUUGAAGAAAGUGAACAAAAACAGCAGAGGAAAGUUCAUAAAAGCAGGAUGAGUUGCAGAAAAACUCCUCAGACACCGGAUUAAAGAAGGAAGAGGUUUUUUAUUUGUCCGGGAGCGUCGGCAGACUCGCGUCUUAAGAGCCGAGCUCCCCGAAAAAGAAAUUCCUAGCCCUUUUAAGGCCUUACAACUCUAAGGAGUCUACGUGAAAGAGUCAUAAUAGAUCAAACAAAUUAAGAAUUCAGAGCCCAAUCCUAACUUCAAGCCAAGAAGUAAAAAAAGGAAGAAAAAAUCAAGACGCUCAGAACAGAACUCCAGCAAUAUUGAACCCAGACAGAGCUUCACUGUGUUGCCCAGGCUAGAGGGUAGUGGCGUGAUCAAGGCUCACUGCAGACUCAACCUCCUAGGCUCAAGUAUAUUCUCCUCAGCUUCCAGUAUAUUCUCCUGCAAGAACAUACCACCCCACACCUGGCUAAUUUUAAAAUGUUUUGUAGAGACAGGGUCCCACUAUGUUGUUCAGGCUGGUCUCAAACUCCUGGCCUUAAGUGAUCCUCCUGCCUCAGCCUCCCAAAGUGCUGGGAUUAUAGGCAUGAGCCACCACAUCUAGCCACAAAACUUGUUUAGAGAAAAAAUUGUUAUGAUGAUGUGAAUAAUUGGGUCCACAAUAUUUCCUUUUAGAAAGAAAAUUGGCCAGGCGCGGUGGCUCACGCCUGUAAUCCUAGCACUUUGGAAGGUCGAGGUGGGCAGAUCACCUGAAGUCGGGAGUUCGAGACCAGCCUGACCAACAUGGAGAAACCCCGUCUCUACUCAAAAUACAAAAAAUUAGCCGGGC